GACGAACGCUGGCGGCGUGCUUAACACAUGCAAGUCGAACGGAAAGGCCCCUUUGGGGGUACUCGAGUGGCGAACGGGUGAGUAACACGUGAGUAACCUGCCCUUGACUUCGGGAUAACUUCAGGAAACUGGGGCUAAUACCGGAUAGGAAUCCUUGCUGCAUGGUGGGGGUUGGAAAGCUUCGGCGGUUUUGGAUGGACUCGCGGCUUAUCCGCUUGUUGGUGGGGUAGUGGCUUACCAAGGCUUUGACGGGUAGCCGGCCUGAGGGGGCGACCGGCCACAUUGGGACUGAGAUACGGCCCAGACUCCUACGGGAGGCAGCAGUGGGGAAUAUUGCACAAUGGGCGGAGGCCUGAUGCAGCAACGCCGCGUGCGGGAUGACGGCCUUCGGGUUGUAAACCGCUUUCAGCAGGGGCGAAGCUUGUGGUGACGGUACCUGCAGAAGAAGCACCGGCUAACUACGUG
rnacentral:rRNA from 1 species